GUGAUUUGUUUACUGAUAAAUGGGGCAUGGAAUAAGCCUUUUGUCUCUGAAAAUUUUCUCUCCAGUGAUCUAAUGAAUAUUCUGAGUAUCCAUGCCAGGGGCUGUGUGGGGGAGGCGAUCAAAUUAUUUGGAGGUAUGACCCAAAAUGCAUUUUCACGAUAAAUAGCGCGUAUGAGCUUGCAGUUAUGUUGAGGAAGGUGUCUAAGGUCUACCGGCCCUUAGAUGAAACCUUUAUGGAAAUCUAUUCGGAAGCUUAGGUGCCCCCACACUCACCCCCAAGGGUGAAAGUCAUGGAAGGAAAUGUGUGGAGACGAUAAGUCAUGCAUGUUUUAUGGGGGUGCAAAUUUUCCAGGAGCAUGCAUUUGGUUAUUUUUCUUCCCCUCCUUAUUUGGGUUUUUUGGUGAUUUCAGAAUCUGUUGAGAUGGGGUGGUUUUUGCGAUCUAGGUGGCGGAUCAGAGAUUCAGCUAUCCUACUAUAGGAUGUAUCGAAUUACAAAAGUAUGGUAAAGCGUAGGGGGUCUGGAGCAGAUCGUGAGGUUCUACUAAAAAGAAUUUCUCUACACAGUUGGAGGAAAGUUCGGUUGAGGGUGGUUGUGACUCUACCUCCUUAGGAGGGAGAACCUGAGGAGUCAUGCUUCCUGGAUCCAACCUGACGAUGGGGUGUGGAAACUCAAAGCCAAAUCCUCGUGGUUAGACGAUGCUGUGGCAAGUGGGGUUGGAUGGGUUGUUCGUGACUCCUUAGUGUGUCUCCCAUCUCUGCUGGUUGUAUAUGCUUGUCGUGUGAAAGUGGCUUGUAAACCUUUUAGAAGAUUUUGCUCUUGUCAAAGGGCUCGAGUCCCUAUUGUCUCCGUUUAUGCUAAUUUAUUAUUAUAUGUUUAUGUAGAUCUUGACUUUAGGUAUAAACUGACUUAUGUGAA